rnacentral:rRNA from 1 species
UUGAUUAAACCAUAAGAGGUCCAGCCUGCCCAGUGACAUUGUUCAACGGCCGCGGUAUCCUAACCGUGCGAAGGUAGCGUAAUCACUUGUCCUUUAAAUGAAGACUAGUAUGAAUGGCCCCACGAAAGCUAUACUGUCUCCUUUUUCUAAUCAGUUAAACUAAUCUCCCCGUGAAGAAGCGGGGAUAAACAUAUAAGACGAGAAGACCCUAUGGAGCUUCAAACAACUGAAACACUUGUAUAUCCUCCCCUCACCUACCAACAUUUAACCUCACAUUUUGUUUCUAGUUUUAGGUUGGGGUGACCACGGAGAAAAAACUAACCUCCACGACGAAAGAGACAUCUCUAAACAAAAAGCUACAUCUUUAUGUAUUAACACAUUAACCUUUAUUGACCCAAUAAAUUGAUCAACGAAC